rnacentral:rRNA from 1 species
GAUGAACGCUGGCGGCGUGCCUAAUACAUGCAAGUCGAGCGAAUGGAUUAAGAGCUUGCUCUUAUGAAGUUAGCGGCGGACGGGUGAGUAACACGUGGGUAACCUGCCCAUAAGACUGGGAUAACUCCGGGAAACCGGGGCUAAUACCGGAUAACAUUUUGAACCGCAUGGUUCGAAAUUGAAAGGCGGCUUCGGCUGUCACUUAUGGAUGGACCCGCGUCGCAUUAGCUAGUUGGUGAGGUAACGGCUCACCAAGGCAACGAUGCGGAGCCGAACUGAGAGGGUGAUCGGCCACACUGGGACUGAGACACGGCCCAGAAUCCUACGGGAGGCAGCAGUAGGGAAUCUUCCGCAAAGGACGAAAGUCUGACGGAGCAACGCCGCGUGAGUGAUGAAGGCUUUCGGGUCGUAAAACUCUGUUGUUAGGGAAGAACAAGUGCUAGUUGAAUAAGCUGGCACCUUGACGGUACCUAACCAGAAAGCCACGGCUAACUACGUGCCAGCCGCCGCGGUAA